GUGGGGAAUUUUGGACAAUGGGCGCAAGCCUGAUCCAGCAAUGCCGCGUGCAGGAAGAAGGCCUUCGGGUUGUAAACUGCUUUUGUACGGAACGAAACGGUCCUGGCUAAUAUCCGGGGCUAAUGACGGUACCGUAAGAAUAAGCACCGGCUAACUACGUGCCAGCAGCCGCGGUAAUACGUAGGGUGCGAGCGUUAAUCGGAAUUACUGGGCGUAAAGCGUGCGCAGGCGGUGCUGUAAGACAGGCGUGAAAUCCCCGGGCUCAACCUGGGAAUUGCGCUUGUGACUGCAGUGCUGGAGUACGGCAGAGGGGGAUGGAAUUCCGCGUGUAGCAGUGAAAUGCGUAGAUAUGCGGAGGAACACCGAUGGCGAAGGCAGUCCCCUGGGCCUGUACUGACGCUCAUGCACGAAAGCGUGGGGAGCAAACAGGAUUAGAUACCCUAGUAGUCC
rnacentral:rRNA from 1 species